AGUGAACGCUGGCGGCAGGCUUAACACAUGCAAGUCGAGCGGGGGAAGGUAGCUUGCUACCGGACCUAGCGGCGGACGGGUGAGUAAUGCUUAGGAAUCUGCCUAUUAGUGGGGGACAACAUCUCGAAAGGGAUGCUAAUACCGCAUACGUCCUACGGGAGAAAGCAGGGGAUCUUCGGACCUUGCGCUAAUAGAUGAGCCUAAGUCGGAUUAGCUAGUUGGUGGGGUAAAGGCCUACCAAGGCGACGAUCUGUAGCGGGUCUGAGAGGAUGAUCCGCCACACUGGGACUGGGACACGGCCCAGACUCCUACGGGAGGCAGCAGUGGGGAAUAUUGGACAAUGGGGGGAACCCUGAUCCAGCCAUGCCGCGUGUGUGAAGAAGGCCUUAUGGUUGUAAAGCACUUUAAGCGAGGAGGAGGCUACUCUAGUUAAUACCUAGGGAUAGUGGACGUUACUCGCAGAAUAAGCACCGGCUAACUCUGUGCCAGCAGCCGCAGUAA
rnacentral:rRNA from 1 species